CCUGACAAAAAAAUAUAGGUAUAAUUUUGAUGCAUUCACACAGGAUGGCUAUCAUUGUGUUGGCUCUUGUCAUUUUUUUUUUAUUUGACAAUCUUAAG